UAAGGAUAUACUAAUAUCUAUCAAAAUUUCAUACUUUAGCACUGUUUUGGUCUGUAUCAUUUUUGCCCUUCAAAACAGUCCUGAGAAUCUGGUAGGUAACCUCCUUGUCUUCCAUUUCAUAGAGAGGAACCCCCAGCUCAGCAGAAUGGAGUCACUUGCCCAGGGACAUCCAGCUGAGCUGAUACUCUUUGCACUCCCUUUGCUGCUUAUCUCUGGGUUUGGUAAAGGUUUUUAUCUUUACAAGAAACAGCUUAGACUUCUAUUCUGGGGUGCAUUUGGGUAAUUGUAACAAUGACAACAGACAAAUUUCUGAUGCUGGGAGCAGAAAGUUGGGUUUGGAGGCC